UACGUAGGGUGCAAGCGUUGUCCGGAAUUAUUGGGCGUAAAGAGCUCGUAGGCGGUUUGUCGCGUCUGGUGUGAAAAUCCAGGGCUUAACCCUGGACCUGCAUCGGGUACGGGCAGACUAGAGUGCGGUAGGGGAGAUCGGAAUUCCUGGUGUAGCGGUGAAAUGCGCAGAUAUCAGGAGGAACACCGGUGGCGAAGGCGACUCUUUGGCCUGUAACUGACGCUGAGGCGCGAAAGCGUGGGGAGCAAACAGG
rnacentral:rRNA from 1 species